rnacentral:sRNA from 1 species
UCGAGUUUUCUCUUUUUUUUUGUUAAAAAUGUAUGACUCUAUAAAUUUUAGACCGUGAGGCCAAACUUGGCAUGUGAUACCUUUUCGGAAAGCCCAAAGAGAGCUCUCCGAUGAAUGAGGAAGCAUAAUGGAAUUCUUUUCUUUGUUUUUUUCUACUCUAAAUUUUGACCUUAAUGUAUUUUUUCAGGCCUUUUUCGUGAUCUUUGCUAUAUUACGGGGCAAAAAUUAAAUGUUCGGACAUUAUUUUUGAAUACUUUGCGUUUAUCAAAGCUCAUAUGGACAAGAUAGGGUAUUCCUACAUAGCUGGUGGUACCCACGGCAAAUAGAUCAUAAAGUCUUCAAAAAAUAAUAGAUAGAAUUGCAUUGCAUGUAUUAACAGCUGCGAUCAUACCAGCACUAAUGAACCGGAUCCCAUCAGAACUCCACAGUUAAGCGUGCUUGGGCGAGAGUUGUUCUAGGAAGGAUGACCUCUAGGAAAGUCCUCGUGUUCCAUCCCUCUUUUGUUUCGGUUUUUCUCUUUUUUUUUGUU